rnacentral:rRNA from 1 species
GAUGAACGCUGGCGGCGUGCCUAAUACAUGCAAGUCGAGCGAACAGACGAGGAGCUUGCUCCUCUGACGUUAGCGGCGGACGGGUGAGUAACACGUGGAUAACCUACCUAUAAGACUGGGAUAACUUCGGGAAACCGGAGCUAAUACCGGAUAAUAUAUUGAACCGCAUGGUUCAAUAGUGAAAGACGGUUUUGCUGUCACUUAUAGAUGGAUCCGCGCCGCAUUAGCUAGUUGGUAAGGUAACGGCUUACCAAGGCAACGAUGCGUAGCCGACCUGAGAGGGUGAUCGGCCACACUGGAACUGAGACACGGUCCAGACUCCUACGGGAGGCAGCAGUAGGGAAUCUUCCGCAAUGGGCGAAAGCCGGACGGAGCAACGCCGCGUGAGUGAUGAAGGUCUUCGGAUCGUAAAACUUUGUUAUUAGGGAAGAACAAAUGUGUAAGUAACUAUGCACGUCUUGACGGUACCUAAUCAGAAAGCCACGGCUAACUACGUG